CAUCAAAACCCUUUUAGCCAAUGGCAUUUCUGUCCUUGCCAUCAUUGAAAUUCCCUUAAAGAUUGAAUCUUUACCCUUAUUUUCGAGAGAAAAAUCCUUCAAAUUUACUGGCCUCUCCAAAGGAACAAACCCAAAUGAACUAGCUUCCCCAUUAAUCUUCCCACUUGGGCUACUAGGUGUGUUGGAGAAGGUGGAUUUUCUCAAACUGAAAGAGCCCAGUCGAGGUUUGAAUAGAAUAGAAAAGGUAGGAUUAGAAGUGGGAUUGUUAGGGGAGAAAGAGAAGUUAGCAGAGAUAAUAAGGGGGGAUUCGUUUGGGGAGCCAUAUUGGCCUAUGCCUGAUUUAAGAGUAAGAGUAAAAGGUGGUGGUGGGGUGGUGGUGGAAGUCGAGGCAGUGGUGGCGGUGGUGCUGCUGCUGGUGGAGUAGGAGAGUUUGAGAGUGGGGCCAGAUGGAAAGUGGGUGGAAAGUGAAAGGGAAAGGUCAGAAGGGUGAUGAGUGGUGGUAGAUAAUCCAGAGAGAAAAGGAAGCUUGAAAAUGGUUACAGGGAUUUUAGCCCUGAACAGGAGUGAGUGGAUUUGGUUGUUCUGCUGUGGUUGUUGCUGUUGUAGCUGGUGCUGAUUAUCUUGGAGCUUAAUAAGAGAAAACUUCAUCUCUGAUCAGUUUGCUUAGUCUACUGCCACAUGCAGCUUGCCUUUUGUCUCUCUGUUCUGGGGGGUAUUGGGGUUCACGGUAGAAUGAGUCAUAAAAACAAGAAGAAGAUAAAGAUAACUUUCUCGGAACUAAUCAGAUUUGAGGUCCACAUCCAUUCAAGAACUUUCUUGUAUGACAGAGAUUCAGAGACAGGAUUAAAGAUGAAUAGUACAACAUGCCUAUGGGCUUUUCUUGAAUUUCAUGUUUUGGGCUCGAUGGACUACUAAUUCAUUAAAAGAGAGGCUUUAGUUUCUGUUCGGAUUCGUGAUUUGAAGGAUAUAAGGUUAAAAAAUGAUUGAAAAAAUAUAAAAAAAAAAAUUUUGAAAAAUUUCAAUUCAAACAAGGACUUGGAUCUCCUUAAAUUUAUAUUUAAGCCCAUGUAUAAUGUUGUUUAGGGUUGGCUACUUCAUGCACAUUAUUUAAAAAAUGAAUUACUGAUAAUUAAGUCUGGAAGAUAUGAGAGCUAAUGAAGCAAAAUUGGAAGUAGUCAUCAAGUCAUUUUUGUGCAACAGAUUUAUGUUCCACUUUUUAUUAUAUUGCUAUUUCCUUUUCAUAAUUAUCAUAAUUUAAUUUUUUUUAUUUUCUUAAAAUCUAAUAACUAUUAACUAAGUACUAUACACAAAAUUUGAAGACCUCGAAAUAUCAAAAUGUAUAAAAAAUGAAACGCAAAAAUCUCCUUCCCAUGUGCUUUAAAUUUGAUUUUAUAAUGCUCAAUGCACGCACUUUUCAUCUUUUUAAUUUAUUCAUUCACAUUUAUUCCUCCUUUCUACAUGCUUCAUUUAUUUAUUUAUUUUGAAAAUUUAAAAAUAGAGGUUCCACUUACUUACGUGUCUUUAAGGUGCGCGGUAGUCAAACCUCAACAUGCAUGCAUGCGCAUAAAUGAAUAGUGGAAAUUAAAUUAAAAUCUUUGAUUAAUUUUGUGUUUUCCAAUGACAUGUUACUCAAUGCAUCUAAGUUUGCAUCUCAUGAAAUUAUUUGAGUGUUAUGAAAUUAAUGAAGUCUUUUUAACACAUGCAUUGAAAUAGUCAUCCUCCUAUAAGGUUCAAUAAUAAAUUGAUAGAUUUUCUUUCAAUUUAUGUGUUUGAAGUAAUAAAUUUAUGAAUCCAUAUUAACGGUGGUACAUGUAUUUUUGGUCUUGUAUUACGUAUAAAUAGGGAUCAUCUUUAAUUUCAUUUGUAACCUUGAAAACUCUGAAUAAACUAGUGAAUAAAAGUAUAAAUUUCUCUCUAUUUUUUUGUCUACUUUUAAUAUUGUUCUAUUUGUUUAUAAUUCAAUGUACAAUUACUACACAUCACUACCAAUCAAAUAUAGAUUAGCAUUAAUUUCACAACAUUGAGUUGUUUAUUAGAGGUUUUUUGCAACAAUGUCUAAAAAAUUUUGCAUUUGGAUUGCAAUUUUUCAAAGAAAUUGUUACGUUUUCUGUGAACGCAUUUUUCAAUCACUUUUUUACCUCAUAUAUAUCAAAUCGCUACAAUAAUUUUUUUUUACAAAAAAUCCAGAAAAAUACACUACAAACAAAGCCUUAUUUAGCACGCGUACGCAUAUUCAAAACAAGGACAAAUGUACAAAUUGCGUUGAUUUCUCAUUACAAGAACUUUGCUUUUCUAAAUUGGAAAGGCCCUCCAAUAUUGAACAUCCUUUUAGACAAAUUCAACUUUCGGCUGUCCAACAUUUUUACUCCGUACCGAAAUUUUCAACAUGUCAAACUCAAAGUGAAACCAGCCACAGGUAUCCAGUUGAAGCAAAGCACGUGCACUGUUUGAGAGGAUAUCCCAGCGACAGAAAGAAUCAACUAACUAAAAUUAGUAAUAUACCAAUGGAUCCUAUGCCUGCCAAUAUUGGUAUGCGAGCAAUUGCCAUUAUUUACUUAAUCAGUAGUAUUUUAUUGUUAUUCUAUUCAAAUGAAACCAUAGCAGAUUCGUAGCAAAUGCAUUGGAAGCGUCAAUACAAAUUGGCUCAGUCGAUAAAAGGAUGGAUCACUUUUUCAUGAAAAUGUCGAAUUUCGUUGUUGAAGCGAAGAUUGUAUUGAUAAAUGAUUGAUAAAAUCCUCAUAGCAGAUCGCAGCAAAUACAUAGAAAGCAUCAACAUAAAUUAGCUCAAUUGAUAAAAGAAUGAAUCAUUUUUUCAUGAAAAAAUCGAAUUUUGUUGUUAAUGUGAAAAUCGUAUUGAUAAAUGAUUGAUAAAAUCCCGAAAGCAAACUAUGAUUCGAAACAUGUCCUGAUUCAUUCAAAUAUUUUGUUAAAAUAAAAAGAACACAAAACUAUGAACCCUUGAGAUAUUUGCCAGAUGGACAUUGUCCCUAUCCAUUCUUGGCUUCUGUUCUUUAGUACUACUAGUGACUGGACUUAUUAGAUGUGGCAAGCAGGGGACAAAUUAAAUAAUGGGAGUAGUCAAUAUCAUCAUGUCAUAGUCCAAAAUGUCACUUGUGGGACAUUGUUGAUUGCUAAUACAAUAUAUCAGCAGCCAGACAUGUUCAGCUGAUAUAAAUACAGGAGGGAGGCAGUCCCUGAUUUUUUAAACUCGGGCCGUGGCUUACCGGUCCCUCGUGCGCUACUUGCUUUGCCUUUUGUUGUUUGUGUGACUUGUUUUUCUCUCAUUCAAAUUAUUGUACAUGAAUAUUUUCUGAUUUUUGAUUGUACAAAUAAAAGAGUGUUCAAAAUUUGGGUAGAUCCGAUUUUAAAAAAUUCAAUGAUCUUGAGCUACACUGAUGUGACACAAUCUGAAUUAUUAAAUUUUUAAAAACUAAGUCUACCAAGUAUGAAUAAGAAAGAAUUACUACGUGAACACUGAUAAAAAAAAAAGUGAAAUUGACAAUUUUGAGUUGAGUCUACAGUUUAGAUGUGAUAUUUAUGGUUAACUGCGACCUUUAUAAUCACGAAAGUAUGUGCUAUGAUGAUUAUGAAACUCUUUUCUUUUUUUUUUCCCUUUAUAGUGAAAGUAUAAUUGUUAAUUUUUAUUUUAGAUUUCGACUUUUUUCUUCUCUUUUUAUUCUUUUAGUUCUUUAAUGGAAAAGACAAUAUGAUUGCAUAUAUGAGAUGUGUGUUCAUUAAUGCAACUUAAUUGGUACUUUUAUUUAUUUUAGUAUUUGUUUAAAACCUACUACUUACAAUCUCUUCAGUUUAUCAAUUAUCAUCCAAUCCAAUUCUCCCUUCCAAACCGUUCAAGUUAUUUACCGUUCACGUAAAUUGGAACCCUAAUGAUCCAAUCAAACACUGCAUAAAUUAUCGAAAAUGUUGCCCCUCAUUAGGUUGACAUAUUAUUACCUCAUAAACUUCCAAGUGACGCAAAAAGGUCAAUUUUUAGUUCAGGGACCAACCACUUAGAAUUCUUUACAUAUUUACCAUGUGACUUGAUGUAAUUCUCCUCACAAACGUCACGUUCCAUUAUAUAAGAUUUCAUUAGCGGACUUUUCUUGAAAAGCAUGGUAUCUUAAUAGUUAACUAAAUAGGUUCAUGAUCAACUUAAACUUGUCAUGACUAGUCCAAAAUUGGUUUCUCAAUUAGUCAAAUCAAAUAUGGAUGAAUACUAUCAUCCUUUAACUUAAUAAAACCGAGUCCUACAUGGUUUUGCUAGGUGCAAAAUCUAAACCUCAAUCGUUUAUUCAACCGUGGAUUAAUAGAUGUGCAAACCUUUCCUAAAUGACUGAAAUCCUACACAAACUCAAUGUGUAGAAAUGCUUUCGAACUUGGACUUAAGUAAUAAUUAAGUUAAUGGAUAUACAAUGUUGAAACUAGUUAAUUAAGAAUGAAACCAUGCUUAAAAUUGUAAAAGGUAUGCAUUUCAUUCUUUUAGAAACUUUGGUUUGUAUUUGAGUUUUUGGUAAUAUUUUUUAACAAAUAUACUAGCGAUAUGAUAUAUGUGAAGUAAAAAAUAAUUAAAAAUAUGUCAAGAAAAUAUUUUUAAUUUUUUAUUGAAAAACUCACAAUCUAAAUAUUUAUAUGUUUUUUUGUCACCACUCGUCUGAUAAUAUGUUUUUUCAAGGGUUAAUGUUAUUUUGCACCCUUCAACUAUAUUCGAAACUUUACUUUGGUCCUUAAACUUUAAAGAGAGAUGCUUUAGUUUCUAAAGUAUAAAAUCUAUCCUCUUUUAGUCCCUAAAAUUAAAAUUUAUUUCACAUUAGUUCCUAAAAUAUAAAAUUUUUUCUAACAUAAGCAUAAAAUUCGUCUCCUUUUUGUCAAAGAUUUUACAUAAAGCGAGGAUCAUUAAACUGUCUCACUUUAAAGGUUAGAUGAUAAAGUCAGAUUUGGAUACAAUUGAAGGGUACAAAGUGAAAUUAAUCCUUUUAUAACUCGGUUACACUCUUAAAUUGUCAUUAAUAUUUUUUUUCCGGGCUAGCAGAUAUACAUGUAUGACUAGAUAAAGGGUGUUUUUACAUGUCUUUUAAAUUUUUUUCACUAUAGGUGGAGUUCGAAUCCCCGACUUACUGCCAAAAAAGGUUUUGGUGGCCACAAAAUUGUCACUAGUAUCACGCUAGCUAAUACUACAAGCAAGGCAAGAAAAGACCAAAAGUUGGAAGACCACGCGCAUGGCGCCACGAGUGGGGGUGAUCUUCUCUUCUCUGCAGCCAAUCAAAAAAUAAAAAAAAUAAAAAAAAGCAUGCAUGUCCAAGUCCAACUGCCCAGGCUCUGUUAUUUUGUUUUUUUUUGUUCAACGAAACUUGCUCUCCUCCUCGUGUCCCCCGUCCCCUUGCCUUUUCCCCCUUCCUUUUCGGGCGUAAUUAACCACAGCGCAUCAAAUUGAGUCCAUUUCAUAAUUUGAAACAAAAAAAAAAUACUGCUCACUAGGCACAUAAUAGCGUUGCUUUCUGGCACUUACUCUUACACUAAAUUUUUGGUUUCUCUUUUGACUUCCACAACUACAAAAUUCCUUUGCCCUUAAAACAAUUUAGAUUGGCACGCAUAAUCUAGAGAUGAGUUUGACAUAAAUCUGAAUAUAGAUAAUCUAAAACCAUAAGGCACUGGAAAUAAAUACUCCUGCCCAUUAUCUAGACAAAAUUGUUUACAUGCCAGUUACAGUAGCCUCCACCUAAUCCUUGUGAGUUAAUGAUAGCUCAUCACACAAGCCAUCGAAUGAUAGCUCAUCACACAAGACAUCGACAUAAAACUAAUUUCAAAAUACUUCAAUUAAGUUAUCAAAUUUACAUUCCAUUUUACAAGAAACAGAAAAAAGUAUCAAAAUAGGGACAAUAAACAAGUUAAACCUACACUAGAUAGAACUGCUAAAGUAUGCUUAGGAAGGCUUAAGUCAUGGCAUGGUAUGAUUAUCAAUAAACAAUAACUGUCUUGUUUGUGUUGUAUGGGUUAUCGUCCCUUCAUAAGUCAUCUAUGUCAAGUUCAGAUAAGUUACAAUCUCCAUAACACCCAACUACUUCAACCACCCUACCAGGAUACAAGUGACACCUCCACCAAAGCAGUGACUUUGUGAAUGAAUAGCUAAAGAAGUUGACAAAGCAUGCAUAACUCCACUCUAUCACAUUACUCAAUGAAAAUUCAAUCAUAAUGAAGGGGCACAAAAAGCAAAUAACUAAACAAAUGCAGAGUUCUUCAAAUAUUGAAAUGGGCAAAAGAAAUUCAUCAAGAAACUUUGAUUGUCAAGAAUUAUCAAGCAAACUACUUUAUACCAGUGCAGAGAUAUUAGAGGCCAAUUUGCAUCAAGCUUCAAGAGCUUCAGGCUUAAUAUACAUCGAAAGCUAAAAAAAACCCAAAAAGUACACAAGUCAAAAACUUGCAUCAACUCGAACCUCAAGAAGAGGAGGCAGCUUUAAUAGCUCUCUCCAAUUCACUCUCCACAUCACUCAACCUAUUACCAUUCUUCUUAACCUCUUUCUUUGAAUUCUCUUCCCCGCCAUUCUUCUUGCUUCUCCACUGCUCAAAACCACUUGAUUCUUCAACCACAGGAAUCGUUUUCUUCCUAUUAGUCUCACCCAGAGCACCACUACUACCACCAUUCUUCCCCGAGGGCCCCAAUCUCAUUUCUUCCAAGUUGUGCUUCAUUUCUCUAUUCUCCCUCUGCAGCAUAUCCAAUUCCCUCUUCAUCCAAAGGCACAUUCCUUUCAACAAUUCCGAAUCACCACCAACACUUCCCUCACUUCUCUUCUGUUUCCCUCCUUCCACUUCUUUAACCGAUCAACCCUCUCAAUCCCAAUCUUAUUGACAGCCAUAUAAGGCAAUUGCUUACUGAAAUCAUCAGGAAAAUUCACACCCCACCUGAGAGUCAUCAAAACCCUUUUAGCCAAUGGCAUUUCUGUCCUUGCCAUCAUUGAAAUUCCCUUAAAGAUUGAAUCUUUACCCUUAUUUUCGAGAGAAAAAUCCUUCAAAUUUACUGGCCUCUCCAAAGGAACAAACCCAAAUGAACUAGCUUCCCCAUUAAUCUUCCCACUUGGGCUACUAGGUGUGUUGGAGAAGGUGGAUUUUCUCAAACUGAAAGAGCCAGUCGAGGUUUGAAUAGAAUAGAAAAGGUAGGAUUAGAAGUGGGAUUGUUAGGGGAGAAAGAGAAGUUAGCAGAGAUAAUAAGGGGGGAUUCGUUUGGGGAGCCAUAUUGGCCUAUGCCUGAUUUAAGAGUAAGAGUAAAAGGUGGUGGUGGGGUGGUGGUGGAAGUCGAGGCAGUGGUGGCGGUGGUGCUGCUGCUGGUGGAGUAGGAGAGUUUGAGAGUGGGGCCAGAUGGAAAGUGGGUGGAAAGUGAAAGGGAAAGGUCAGAAGGGUGAUGAGUGGUGGUAGAUAAUCCAGAGAGAAAAGGAAGCUUGAAAAUGGUUACAGGGAUUUUAGCCCUGAACAGGAGUGAGUGGAUUUGGUUGUUCUGCUGUGGUUGUUGCUGUUGUAGCUGUGCUGAUUAUCUUGGAGCUUAAUAAGAGAAAACUUCAUCUCUGAUCAGUUUGCUUAGUCUACUGCCACAUGCAGCUUGCCUUUUGUCUCUCUGUUCUGGGGGGUAUUGGGGUUCACGGUAGAAUGAGUCAUAAAAACAAGAAGAAGAUAAAGAUAACUUUCUCGGAACUAAUCAGAUUUGAGGUCCACAUCCAUUCAAGAACUUUCUUGUAUGACAGAGAUUCAGAGACAGGAUUAAAGAUGAAUAGUACAACAUGCCUAUGGGCUUUUCUUGAAUUUCAUGUUUUGGGCUCGAUGGACUACUAAUU
rnacentral:lncRNA from 1 species